rnacentral:rRNA from 1 species
GGGCUUAACCUGAGAUCUGCGAGCGAAACGGUAUAACUUGAGAAUGUGAGGGGUAUAGGGAACUCAUGGUGUAGGGGUGAAAUCCGUUGAUAUCAUGGGGAAUACCGAAAGCGAAGGCAGUACACUGGCACAUUCCUGACGCUCAGGGACGAAAGCGUGGGUAGCGAAGGGGAUUAGAUACCCCCGUAGUCCACGCCCUAAACGAUCCUGACUAGAUUUGGGGAGUAUCGACCCUCUCCGAGUCGUAGCUAACGCGUUAAGUCAGGCGCCUGGGUAGUACGGCCGCAAGGCUAAAACUCAAAGGAAUAGACGGGGACUUGCACAAGCGGUGGAUCAUGUGGCUUAAUUCGUAACUAAACGAAGAACCUUACCAGGGCUAGAAACCAAACUGAAUACCUAGGGAAACUUAGAUAGCCUUCGGGCAGUUUGGCAGGUGAUGCAUGGCCGUCGUCAGUUCGUGGCUUGAGCUGUUCCCUUAAGUGGGGUAACGAACGCAACCCUCGUCGUAUGUUAUAAGUGUCAUACGAGACCGCCCCCGUUUCAGCACAUAAAUAAUUUUAUUUAUUUGUGAAUUGAAACGGGGGAGGAAGGUGAGGAUGACGCCAGGUCAGCAUGUCCCUUGAUGCCUUGGGCUGCACACGUGAUACAAUGGGUGGCACAACGGGACGCAAUGUCGUAAGACGGAGCAAAUCCUAAUAAAUCCAUCCUCAGUUCGGAUUGAGGGCUGCAACUCGCCCUCAUGAAGCCGGAAUCGCUAGUAAUCGCGGAUCAGCAUAGCCG